rnacentral:rRNA from 1 species
AUUGAACGCUGGCGGCAGGCUUAACACAUGCAAGUCGAGCGAGCGGCGGACUGGUGAGUAAUGUCUGGGAACCUGCCUGAUGGAGCGGGAUAACUACUGGACACGGUAGCUAAUACCGCAUACCAUCAGCUCUUCCCAGAUGGGAUUAGCUAGUAGGUGGGGUACUGGCUCACCUAGGCGACGAUCCCUAGCUGUUCUGAGAGUCUGACGUGACACACUGGAACUGAGACCGGGUCCAGAGUCCUACGGGAGGGAGCAGUGGAGAAUAUUGCACAAUGGGCGGAAGCCUGAUGCAGCAAUGCCGCGUAUGUGAAGAAGGCCUUCGGGUUGUAAAGCACUGUCAGCGGGGAGUCGUUACUCACAGAAGAAGCACCGGCUAACUCCGUGCCAGCAGCCGCGGUAAUAC